UUUAAAAACUUUAUUGGCAUGAUAAAAACAUUGUUAUAUUGCCAAAGUGUAAAACAUGACAUACAUGUUUAAAAUGCAUAAGUAUAAAUACAAGUAUACAGUGCAUGGAUAGAUAUGUCCCUGUACAUAAACUCGCGAUACACCUAUAGCCCUUUAUUGAUUGAUCUACUGACCAAAGAUCCUACAGGAUCUUUGUUACCGACCACACACACACAAACACAUUGCGAAGGUGGGGGCCAGGGACAGUGGAGGAGCGUUGUCUGCGCGAUGAAGAGGAAGGUAAACGGCUGCCACAGAGCACGGACAAAGACCUCCCUCCUCACAUCCUUGAGCAGAAGUCAUCAUGCUGAACAGGUUUGGUGAUUUAUCCACUGCCAUCUUCCAUCUCUGCCUAAGGCAAACAAGCCUAUUUGAUGGUCUUCCUGCAAUUGUGCCUGAUCUCUAAUAUGUGAUGUCCUCAACAAAAUUGUGAUCUUGUCUGACUGCGUCGUAGGGCCACAGAGCUUUGCCCCAUCUUGUCUAAAUCAACUAUCAAUCGCCCGUCUACCCUAAACUCAUUUACCAACAGACCAGCCUUCAUCAUUGGUCAUUCAUGUGCACACCUAAAUAUGUCUUAAAUGUCAUACAAGUACCCACUUCCACCACCCUCUCCAGAUACCAAUCAGUCUAAAGUUGAAAAGAAUUCUACCUCAUAUCCUCUCUCAAUGCUUCAUCUUUAAGCUAAUCCCACAUCCUCUCUAUUUUGACACUUAUGUUAUGUGGAAACAUUACCCACUAUCUACCCUGCCUAAUGUUAUAUACCUCAAUCAGGUCCCCACCAAGGAUAACAAUUCCAGCGUAUCCAGUCUCUUCUCACAAGUGAAAUGCUGUCACAUCCUGGUGAAUCUCCUCAGCACCCUCUUCACAAAGCAAGAGAAUGUACAAUAAAUUGGAGGACACUGAAAGCCAUGGAGAAACAGAGGGAGCUUGCAGUUUAUGUUGCCAGGUCUUUCAAAUUGCAGGACAGCU